AGGUAGUUUAAGUUACCGAGGAAUGCACAGGAGCAGAACUCGAGUCCAAGCAUCGUGGCUCCACCCUUCAUGCUUGAUGCUUCUUUAGGCUCCGUUCUAGGUAUGUGUAUCCUUUACGGGAUCAGCCACCGGCAGUUGCCUUGCAACCAUGAUGACAAAUCUCUCCCAGCUCUUCUGGGUCUCAUCCCUGUAUCUAUAAAUUGCAUCCCAGCAUAAAGAUCGGAAUGUGUCUUUUGCUGACCCAAUCUCUCACCCUUUCCAAACUCCAGAAAUCUUGUCUUGGCAAAACUACCCGCUGCUUCUUUCUCUAAAGGCUAUCUUCAGUCCGGGCACUGUGGCUCAUGCCUGUAAUCCCAGCACUUUGGGAGGCCCAGGUGGGAGGAUGGCUUGAGCCCAGAAGGCCACAGUGAGGUGAGAUCACGCCAUUACACUCCAGCCUAGGCGGCAAAGCCAGAGCCCCAUCUCGAAACAAACGAACAAACAAACAAAGCACAAAAGAAACAGCCUAGGCAAGGUAGUGAAGCCCUGUUCAGGGUGACGAAUAUCUGUACAGCAGCUAUUUCAGAGGCUGAGGCAGGAGGAUCAAUUGAGUCUGGGAGGUGGAUGCUCCAGUGAGCCGUGAUUGCACCACUGCACUCCAGCCUUGGUGACAGAGCCAGACCCUGUCUCAAAUAAAUAAAAAUUAAAAUUAAAGGAAAGAAAGCGUGGAAGCAGAAGUGGGUCACAUUGAACUUCAAGCCUUCAAGCUACAGCUGUGGCUGGACAGGUUGAACUAGCAGGCAGGAGCAUUCACCAUCUUGGCAGGGAUUAAUUGCCCUGAACCAUCAUCAGGAAGAGGGAGUAGUGCUCUUAUGCAGGGAGGGCAGGUGGAAUAUAUGUGAACUCUGGUGAUCUGUUUGGGUGCCACGUGUUACUCCCAGGUCCACCUGUGACAUGAAUGGACAAGUGCCGGAACCCUGACUUGAGAAAGAUGUGGCCUCAAGGGGUUUAGACUUUUCAGGAAUGAGAGUUUGGGUCACUGUAGCAGACCACUAUUUUGACAGAGGUUUCUAGAUCAUGUCACAAUGACAUCAGAUAUCAAAGAAAUGUGUAACAGGUUUGGUUAUAUGCAAUGGCUACCCUCAACCCCCCAACUUCCUGUCCAGUCAAAUUCCCUCUGACCUGCUGUCUGUAUCUGCCGCUCCAGAAACAGGGCAGACACAGGAUUGUCAAACGUGCUUGCUUCCACGCUCUCCCCCUAAUGGUGACAUGGACUCUGUUCUCAGUAAGCACCUCCCACCCCACCCAAAGGUCCCUACCACCUCUCCCUGGCUCUGGGUCCACUUCUCUGUACCUUGGACAUGGGCAUAACAUGUUGCCCAUGAGGCACAGGAUGAGUAGCAGGGGCAGCCCUGUGACCAGUUGCAGCAAGAGGGAGUGCUGUUUGGCUCACGACCCUUAUGCAGCUCUAUGCAGUACAAAAGAGCAGGGGAGAGAAGAAUGGCAAGUGGAAGGGGAGGCAGAAAAUAACCAGAACAAAUGCACAUAUAUGAUCGUGGCCUUGGGUUUUCAUUUCCUUGUGAGGGCUCCCGUGUCAUGUAAAACUUACAUUGAGCGUCUAUGCUUUCGUCCUGCUAAUCUAUGUCAGUUUGAGUCUCAGGCCCAGCAAGGACCCUAAGGAGAUAGAGGUAAAGUUUUGCCUCCCCUACAUAGUCAUUGCCCACUCCCACCCUCAUCUUGAGUUAAUCACUGAUCUACUUUAUGUCUAGAGUUCCCAUUCCUGGCAUUUCGUAUGAAGGGAAUUACACUGUAUGUGGUCUUUUGUGUCUGACUGAUGUCUUUCUCUGAGCAUAAUGUUUCUGAGGUUCAUCCCCAUUGUGGCAUGUGCCAUUAUGUUGUACCAUUAUGUUUUUAUUCCUGAAUAUCACAUUUUGUUUAUCCAUUCACCCACUGAUGGACGUUUGAGUAGUUUUCAGUUCAAAGCUAUUCGAAUAAUGCUGCUCUAAACAUUUGCCUCUAAGUCUUUAUAAGGACAUAUGUUGUCAUUUCUCUCGGCCUGCCUGCUCGUUACACAUUGGUGUUCCUGCGAUUCUGAAACAUGUACUCCUCUUACACAAAAUAGUAUCUCUGUGUCAUCUCUCCCAGUCCAUGGCUACUGGGGACCACCUGUAUACCUCACCCUGAUCAUAGAAACAGAAGUCCAGUCUCUCUAUGUUUUCAAAGGCCUCCAAGAUUUUCAACUAACUCUUUCUCUCUUUCUCUUUCUUUCUUUCUUUUUUUCUUUCUCUCUCUCUCCCUCUCUCUCUCUUUUUUUUUUUCAAGUCUCGCUCUGUGGCCCGUGGUGGAGGGCAGUGGCAUGACCAUGGCUCACUGCAACCUCGACCUCCCCAGCUCAAGUGACCCUCCACCUCAGCCUCCUGAGUAGCUGGGACUACAGGAGCAUGCCACCAUGCCUAGUUUCAUAUGUGCUUGCUUCCAUCCUCUGCCCCUAAUGGUGCCACGUACUCUGUUCUCAAUAAGCACCCCUGGCCCAUGGGUCUUUAGACUUAGCCUUGCUCACACGGAUUUGCCGUCUCCCUUCAGGCCUUUCUGCCUCAACUUGCUGAUUCUGUAUUUUAUAACCCCAGAAAGCGUUCUAAGACCCACUCAGCCACCAGCGUAGACAUCUGGAGUUAUAACUGUAUCACUUGUUAUCCAAAUCCAUGCAGUCCCCAAGUUUCAGAUAUUGGUAGUGAGAAUUGAGGUCUCAAAAAACAUAUUUGCCUCUUCUCUCUCCCUCAGCCUCCCUCCUUCAGUCAUCAAGUCCCAGAGCAGAAUGCUUCCCAAACUCUGAUGUGCAUGUGCAUUCUGGGGAAACCUUGUUAACAUGCAGGUUCUGAUGCAAUAGGUCUGGAGCCAGUGAUUCUGCACUUCUAACCCACCCCCA
rnacentral:lncRNA from 1 species